rnacentral:rRNA from 1 species
GUAACAGACAGACCGUCGGGUAAUAGAUCGGACGGGAUACAAGACGGUUAAUCGGAAUUACUGGGCGUAAAGCGCACGCAGGCGGUUGAGUAAGGUAGAUGUGAAAUCCCCGGGCUUAACCUGGGAAUGGCAUCUACACACUGGUCAGCUAGAGUCAAGAAAAGGGGGGUAGAAUUCCAUGUGUAGCGGUGAAAUGCGUAGAGAUGUGAAGGAGUACCGGUGGCGAAGGCGGCCCCCUGGACUAAUACUGACGCUCAGGUGCGAAAGCGUGGGGAGCAAACAUGAUUAGAUACCCUGGUAGUCCACGCCGUAAACGAUGUCAAUUUGACGGUUGUAUCCUUGAGGACUGGCUUUCGCAGCUAACGCGUUAAAUCGACCGCCUGGGGAGUACGGCCGCAAGGUUAAAACUCAAAUGAAUUGACGGGGCCCGCACAAGCGGUGGAACCUGUGGUUUAAUUCAAUGCAACGCGAAAAACCUUACCUGCGCUUGACAUCCAGAGAACUACCAGAGG